CAGGUCUCUCCCAAUGGGUGCUGAAGCAGACAUGGGGUGCAGAUUCUGGAUAUUCCUGCAAUCUAUAUGUUCCUUGGCUGCGAAAAAAGAAAUCUUAAGGGAGUUAUAUCUAACGUUAAAGGAUUAAUCUUUGCUCACACAAUUGCACCAGAUGUUACUGCGACACAGUCUAAGUCACUGCUAUCGUUUAGCUUCACCGUGUAAAUCACAUUUUAACAUCCCUCCCAGCUUAACUGGAAAAGUAACAAUAUCAGAGCAGUCAGUUUCUCUGAACUUUUACAUAAUCAUUGAUUGUUAUUGAAUACUUACAUUUAAAGACUUAAGCAUACCUCCCAAGUGCCUCUAUUUAGGAAUGACAGUCCCUAUUUUGCACCAACAUCCCUCUGUCCCUCUUUUUUGAGGGGCUCCCUGUUGUUGGUGUGUCUGAGUGUAUAACAGAGCUCCACAGCAAUAAUACUCCCAGUAAUGUGUCUGAGUGUAUAACAGAGCUCCGCAGCAAUAAUACUCCCAGUAAUGUGUCUGAGUGUAUAACAGAGCUCCGCAGCAAUAAUACUCCCAGUAAUGUCUGUGUGUAUAACAGAGCUCCACAGCAAUAAUACUCCCAGUAAUGUGUCUGAGUGUAUAACAGAGCUCCACAGCAAUAAUACUCCCAGAAAUGUGUCUGAGUGUAUAACAGAGCUCCACAGCAAUAAUACUCCCAGUAAUGUGUCUGAGUGUAUAACAGAGCUCCACAGCAAUAAUACUCC